UAUGUACAACACAACUUUAUUCACUGGAGUAGUGUGACAGAAGCAAACUUUUACAGGGAACUUAAAUGUGGUCAAUGUCAUCCAGAUCCAAAUCUAGCCUAGUUGCUUCAUUGUAAUUGAGAUCAGACCCCAGUGCCACCAGCAAAAGCUGCAAGCACUUCUGUGAAUGCUGUGACUUUAUCCCCACAUUCACUGACAGUGCUGUAGCAAUACAUUUUGGCACCUGGGAUGGCUCCUUCCCGGAUUACUUCUGGCUGCUGUGACAGAGGACCUUGUCACCAUGGGCCAUCAGCCACUGGAAUGAAUGCCAAUGCAAGAGGUAAAAUCCAAGCCUGUCCUGCUGGGACUCUGCCAGGGACGUGCUGCAUGGGAUCCAGACAGUGAGCAAAGCCAUCAGAAGGCAAAAGGUGUCGGCAGCAUGCCAGGUAAAAGGAAAAGUGACCCAACUGGGAAUAAACUCUAAGUUUGGCGGAGGGGAGGUGCAUCUAAUUCUGUCCAGGAUUCAUACACAGAGAGCCAGAAAAAAAAAUAGCACUGGGGGAGUUAUUUUCUCAUGCUAUCUCCAGCCAAAAGCAAGUUGUUACCAGAAGUCUUCUGAGACAUAUUGAGUCAGGAACAAAAAAUUAAAUAAAUAAAGGGGCUCUGGGACUUAAGGCAAGAUUUAGAUGACUUGAGGCACCCACUUCCAAAGAUGUCAUCCAGAAAAACUCCACCCAGAAGCCACAUAACCUUGCAAAUGCCAGCAUCCACAGGGCUCCAGUGGAGCGCGGACGCAGGCCUGAAGCCCCACACAGAGCUACGCAGUGUGGGCAAGCCCAGCCACAGGCACAGAGAUGAGUCCCUGCCUACAGACUGUUAAUACUCCCAGAGACUAGGAAAUAUGAACCGGGAGGGUUUUGUCCACAGGCAUCUCUGGUCUGAACAAAGCUACAUCUCCACUGGCUUCUUCUCUCCUUUGACAGCAAAAGUCAUUUUCACCCCGCUGGGGCUUUUCUCACAUUUUAUGGGAGAAAGCAAAUGUCUGAUGUGGGGCUGCCUUAGGAAAGAUAGCUCAGCACCCCCUGGCCUGGAGUACUUCAGGACAUGGGUCCUCUGCAGAGUGGGCAAGUUGUUCGCAUCAGAGACAACAGAACCUCUGUUGAAUAACAAAGCCUCUGUUAGCUCAUCAGAGCACGUAAGACAGCAAACAGUACACCUGCAAGAGUAGGCAUUACACCCUGAAAGGAAUGCACUUUCUCUGGGCUGCUCUCCCAAGCAGUGAGACAGUAAGAAAAGGAGAAGGCUUUGUCUUAUACCUAUUUAAAUAAGAUCUGGAAGUAUUUGCCCAGAUUGUAUUGUAGAUAUGAUGACACGAGGAGGGAGAUGAAGGAAGAUACGACAACUGCUUGAAUUUUGUGCUGUAGGAAGCAUCAGAAAGUAUUUAAGAGAGUUGUGCAUGGGAAGGAUUCAGAAUCAUCUUUCAGAUUCACACUUGCUCAUCAGUCUGAGAUCUAAAAUGUUGGAAACAGUGGAAUGGAAAGGACUACAGGAGAUUGCAACCUCGGCAUUUUUCAGCUGAACCCUUCCCUCGAUCACAAGCAUGCAAGAUAGCAAAAUCCUCUUCAGGACUGAAUCUGUUGCUCAGGUACAAGUGCUUGGGCCAUAUUUACCUGCCUCCCAUCCUCUCACUGCUCCUCGAUCAGACCCAUUCUGCCAGAAGAGGUACUCCUGAAAAGAACCACAAGAGUGCAAGCAGAAUUCUCUACAAGCAUUUUGGUGAACUACAAAAAAAACUUGAUUUCAGGAUGCCAUGUGCCCACCACCUUCCUAUGCAAAAGUGUUGAAUUAAUGUUUAUGAUAAACAUAAGUAGAAUAAACAUCUUUCAGUUGCAGCUGAAACAGAGCUCAGCCAUGGUGAUUAAUGAAGCUGGGUGCACGUGAUACAACAGGACAGCUGCUGGCUUCCAGCUUUUUGGUCCUAUCUAACACAUGCACUCCAUCUCAGAGUAUUCAGGCCAUGCUUCUUUCAUGUUGUUAACAUUUUUUAACACAUUUUGUCAACUAAUCUAAACCAAGAGUUCUUCAGGAAAAAAAACAACAAGAACUUUCUAUACAUUUCUGUAACACGUAAACAUUCUGUACACGCUUUCUGCUACAUGUCAUCGAUAGCUUUUUUGACUUGAAAUUCUUGAAAUUGAAAUUGAAUUGAAUUGAAUUGAAUUGAAAAUGUUAUUCAUGUUCUAGGAGUGCCUACUUCACACAAUCUUCUCCACAUCUUGCUUGUCUUUACAUUGUACUUCAAGUUCUCUCAUCUCUUCAGGAGUUACUGGCACUAAAGUGAUCUUAUUUUUGUCAUGACAUGAAAAAUAUUGUGCUCCCCAUGGA